rnacentral:rRNA from 1 species
CCUACGGGUGGCAGCAGUGAGGAAUAUUGGUCAAUGGACGAAAGUCUGAACCAGCCAAGUCGCGUGAAGGAUGACUGCCCUAUGGGUUGUAAACUUCUUUUAUAUGGGAAUAAAAUGUUCCACGUGUGGGAUUUUGUAUGUACCAUGUGAAUAAGGAUCGGCUAAAUCCGUGCCAGCAGCCGCGGUAAUACGGAGGGUCCGAACGUUAUUCGGAUUUAUUGGGUUUAAAGGGAGCGUAGGUGGAUUGUUAAGUCAGUUGGGAAAGUCUGCGGCUCAACCGUAACAUUGCAGUUGAAACUGGCAGUCUUGAGUACAGUAGAGGAGGGCGGAAUUCGUGGUGUAGCGGUGAAAUGCUUAGAUAUCACGAAGAACUCCGAUUGCGAAGGCAGCUCACGGGACUGCAACUGACACUGAGGCACGAAAGUGUGGGUAUCAAACAGGAUUAGAUACCCGGGUAGUC